UAUUUUGACUAUACGAAGGUAUUGAAAUAAGGCUUUAAAUGAGUGCUAAGAGAAUGAUUAAACGAUUGGAAGCUUUCUUUAAUUAAUAAAUUGAAUUUAAUUUUUUUGUGAAGAAGCAAAAAUUUGAAUUAGGGACAAGAAGACCCUAUGAAUUUUAUAUUAAAUUCAUAUAAGAUAUAUUUUUAAGAAUUUAAUUUGGUUGGGGCGACAGAAAAAGAAUAUAUAUCUUUUUGUGGAAAGUAGUUAAUUUGUUCCGUUAUUAGCGAUUAAAUGAGAAAAAUACUCUAGGGAUAACAGCGUAAUAAUUUUGGAUAGUUCAUAUAGAUAAAAUAGUUUGCGACCUCGAUGUUGGAUUAGGAUUCUUUUUUAGUGAAGAAGUUAAAGAAAAGAAGUUUGUUCAACUUUUAAAUU
rnacentral:rRNA from 1 species